rnacentral:rRNA from 1 species
CCUACGGGUGGCAGCAGUGGGGAAUUUUCGGCAAUGGGGGGAACCCUGACCGAGCAACGCCGCGUGAAGGAAGAAGGAAUUCGUUCUGUAAACUUCUGUUAUAAAGGAAGAAAGACGGAUGGAGGAAAUGACAUCCGAGUGACGGUACUUUAUGAGAAAGCCACGGCUAACUACGUGCCAGCAGCCGCGGUAAUACGUAGGUGGCAAGCGUUCUCGGGAAUUAUUGGGCGUAAAGAGGGAGCAGGGGGCAGCAAAGGUCCGUGGUGAAAGACUGAAGUGUAACCUAAGUAAGCCAUAGAAACCGGGCAGCUAGAGUGCAGGAGAGGAUCGUGGAAUUCCAGGUGUAGCGGUGAAAUGCGUAGAUAUAUGGAGGAACACCAGUGGCGAAGGCGACGAUCUGGACUGCAACUGACGCUCAGUCCCGAAAGCGUGGGGAGCAAAUAGGAUUAGAUACCCUUGUAGUC